rnacentral:rRNA from 1 species
GUGUCAGCAGCCGCGGUAAUACGAGUUGUGCAAACGUUAUUCGGAAUCACUGGGCUUAAAGGGUGCGUAGGCGGCUAUGAAAGUCAGAUGUGAAAUCCCUCGGCUCAACCGAGGAACUGCAUUUGAAACUGUAUAGCUUGAGGGAGACAGAGGUGAGCGGAACUGAUGGUGGAGCGGUGAAAUGCGUUGAUAUCAUCAGGAACACCGGUGGCGAAAGCGGCUCACUGGGUCUUAUCUGACGCUGAGGCACGAAAGCCAGGGGAGCAAACGGGAUUAGAUACCCCCGUAGUCC